AAGUCGUAACAAGGUAACCGUAGGUGAACCUGCGGUUGGAUCAUUACUGAUUUUAAGAGGUAAUCCUUUUAUUGGUUUGAUGCUCCCUUUUGGUGAGCUCACCUUUUAGAGGUAUUAUUCUCUUUCUACACUUUGUGCAAACUUGAUGUUUUUUGGGUUUUUAGUUAAUAACUAAAGCCCAGUCAUGUUUUAAACCUUUGUUUUAUUAUUAGUCUGACUUUUGUUAAAUCGUUAAACGAUAACAACUUUUAACAACGGAUCUCUUGGCUCUC
rnacentral:misc_RNA from 1 species